AGUGAACGCUGGCGGUAGGCCUAACACAUGCAAGUCGAACGGCAGCACAGUAAGAGCUUGCUCUUACGGGUGGCGAGUGGCGGACGGGUGAGGAAUACAUCGGAAUCUACUUUUUCGUGGGGGAUAACGUAGGGAAACUUACGCUAAUACCGCAUACGACCUACGGGUGAAAGCAGGGGAUCUUCGGACCUUGCGCGAUUGAAUGAGCCGAUGUCGGAUUAGCUAGUUGGCGGGGUAAAGGCCCACCAAGGCGACGAUCCGUAGCUGGUCUGAGAGGCUGAUCAGCCACACUGGAACUGAGACACGGUCCAGACUCCUACAGGAGGCAGCAGUGGGGAAUAUUGGACAAUGGGCGCAAGCCUGAUCCAGCCAUACCGCGUGGGUGAAGAAGGCCUUCGGGUUGUAAAGCCCUUUUGUUGGGAAAGAAAAGCAGCAGGUUAAUACCCCGCUGUUCUGACGGUACCCAAAGAAUAAGCACCGGCUAACUUCGUG
rnacentral:rRNA from 1 species